ensembl:snoRNA small nucleolar RNA SNORA2/SNORA34 family
GUGUCUCUCAAUCAAGACCUGCAAAUUUGUUGUAGCUGCUUGUUUCAAACAGGAAUUCAAAGAGAAGUCUUUCUAGGAUCUGUUGGUGAUUUCAGAAUUUUGGAAAUGCAACAGUCAGUUCAUUAGAAAGAAAUAGCU